rnacentral:rRNA from 1 species
GGUUGAUCCUGCCAGUAGUCAUAUGCUUGUCUCAAAGAUUAAGCCAUGCAUGUCUAAGUACAAACCAUCUUAAGGUGAAACCGCGAAUGGCUCAUUAAAUCAGUUACGGUUCAUUGGAUGUUGACCGAUUACAUGGAUAACUGUGGUAAUUUUAGAGCUAAUACAUGCCAAAAAGCUUCUUUCGCAAGGGGGAAGCGCAUUUAUUAGACCAAGACCAAGGGAGUGCUUCGGUACUCCUAGUCGUGGUGACUCUGAAUAACUAAGC